GGAGGAGCUCAGAGAGAAUUUGUCUCUGUCAUCUAGUCUGUAACUUCAAGAACAGCAAAGCUGGUCUGAAGAGAAGGCUCAGUUAUUAAGAGUGGUUAUUGCUCUUGUGGAGGACUGACAUUGUAGCAUCCAUGUAGGGUGGGGGUCAAGAGGGGCAAGUCCCAAAAGGCCUGUAACUCCAGCAUCAGGGAUCCUAGACCCUCUUCUGGCCUGCUUAUGCAUCUGCACUCAUGAGCAUAUACCCCUCCCCCACAUACACAGAAUUAAAACUAAAGUAAAUCUCUGGCCAGUCUCUGAGUUCAGUCAGCCUGGUCUACAUCAGGAGUUCCAGGAUAGGCAGGCUGUAUAGUAAGACUCCCUCCUUGAUAGAUGAUAGAUAAUAGAUAGACAGAUAACAAACUCUUUGUUUGUUUGUUUGUUUGUUUUUCUUUUGGGGGGUUUUGUUUUGUUUUUUGAGACAGGGUUUCUCUGUGUAGCCCUGAUUGUCCUGGAACUCACUCUGUAGACCAGGCUGACCUCAAACUCAGAAAUCUGCCAGCUUCUGCCUCCCAAGUGCUGGGAUUAAAGGCGUGCACUGUCCAGCGGUAACAAACUCUUAAAACUUCAAAGCUAUGGUGCUCUGGCGUCAACUGCAAGGUCACUAGCCAUAAUGCUGAUUUCCAGGCUCUACCUAGACUGACAGACCUGUCCUUUGUCACUGGGAUCCAAAAAGCUGCUUUUCACAAGCACCUGGGGGAAGCCUUGCUCUUUGGAGUCAAGAGUCUCCGGCACAGAUGCAGUGUGCAUCACUAAGAUAUCAGGGCAAUGCUGGGGACCCAGAUACUGCCCACUCCCAGAGGCAGGGUACAGAGAAGACAUGGACAGCACAAGCUAAAAAGUGACACUGUGAAAACAGAGGGGAACCAGAGAAACUGCUGGCUGCCACAGGAUGAUGCUUAGAGGAAGACAUCUGAUCAGUAACUGUUGAUGUGUUCACAAACAUUGUUGAAGGAAAAGAUAUUUGAAAGAGUAUAAUGGAUGCAGAAGAAAUCCGUAGUUAUACCUUGCUCAGCCUUUCAGGAGCACGGUUUCACAGAAGACCCCAGGUCCCCUGAGUAAGACAAUGACUCCUGUGUGUUUCAGAAGCGUUUAUCAGCUGCCUCAGCCAGUUGUCAUUGCAUGUGUAGAGCUGGUGUUAGCAUCGAACCCUGCUAUAAAAUGUCCCCGUAGAAAAUCAUGUUGGGUAUAAUAUGCUUUCUUAACUUAUACACACUAAAGGAAGUUUUUGAAAAAAAAUCUGUAAUAUUUGGACAAACAAACCAUAUUGUGUUGCUUUAAUAUUCUAAAUUAAACUUUUAAUAAAGAUUACCAGAAUA
rnacentral:lncRNA from 1 species